GGUAUACCCAAAUACGCUUUUGGGCCAACAUUAACUUUCUGCAUGGGGUUUUCUCUUCAUUCUGUGUUUCAGCAGUCCUCAAAAAGAAGAAAAGUGGAAUGUUCCUACGACAUCGAUAACAUUGUGAUCCCAAUGUCAAUGGCAGCUGAGCUGCCACUCGAGUGGAGAAGCCUCAGUACAAAGAGAUUGUAGUACCGAGCUGGAGGAUAGUAGAGCUCGAGGAACUGGAGCCUUUCAAUCAAGCGGACUCUGAGCUGGAGGAUACUUCUGAUGAGAUGUACUUGAGUCAUCACUCCAAAUACGAAGAUCUUGAACGAGCCCGCUGGGAUUCCUGGGCAGCAGCUACUUCCCAUAAGCGAGGAAGCAGGUCGUCCAACAAAGCAGAUGGCCGAUGGGCUGGGCAGCCCCAGCCAGCGUCUCCAGUUACUGGAUUUAAUUGCCUUAAUGAUCUCUAUGUCCACCCUUCUACUGGCUUGCACAGCCCUUGGUUGCAACGAUUUGCAAUCCCUCGCUGUCCACAGUAGGACCGGAGUGGCGCUGCCUUGCUGUGAAGACACCCAAUCUUCCCUGGAAAUGCUUGAUGAUGCAAUACAGAAAGUACAGCCUUGGGAGCCUCGCACGUUUCCGCUUUCAGAUUCUGCAUACCAAGGUCUUCUCCAGCACUCAAGCGAAGAUGGCUAUGAUCGGGCUGACUUUCAACCCUGGGUCUCUAGCAAUAAGCAGGGCAUCAGGCCUACCUCUGUAGACACUGUCACACCCAGCUUCGUGGGGAUGCAAGUUUCAGAUACACACAAUAAAAGCAUAGAGGAGUUCACGGUCCAGCACUGCAACCCAGGAAGGCCUGUCAACAGCGAUAAACCCGACCCGCGGUGUGUAUGAAGUGUCAGCUACACGUGCUGCAGUGUCAAAAGGCUGUCCGCUGGACUGGUGCAGUGGAGCACAAGCAGUGUGUGGCACUGCUGUGUGUCAGACCUCGUUUCAGCAACUG